rnacentral:antisense_RNA from 1 species
AAAAAAAAAGUGAGAAUUGAGAUCUAAGAAAACUAGCCAUAAAAUGGGGCUUUUUUUUUGUAUAAUAUUGUAGAUGACUAUGUUAAUUUUGAGCUUUUGAGAGUUUUAUUUUGAUAAUUUUAUGAUAAGACUUGAAGAAGAGCUAAAGCUAUAUGCAUAAUUCACACUAUGGCGGUAUUGUAGUAAACUCCGUCAUUAAAAGAGCAUUUAAGGUCAAUUUCAACAGACUUUACCAUCAUUUCGCUGUCAUUUGAAUUUGUAGAGAAUGCAAUAACUCCCAAUUGGGGAUUCUUUAAUAAUGAAGCUCCACCACUUCCGAUUACAUUAGUAAUGGAAACAUCAAUUUCAAAGGAGGAUUCCCUGUCUACAACGAAUGGGACAGCUAGAAGAGUAGGAGGGAUAGAUUUGUCAGUUGUGUACUUUUGGGUAGGGUUAUCAAAAAAGCUUUGACCUUCAACAGUAAAGGAGGAGUUCCAGUCGAAUUUAUCCAUGAGGAAAACUUCAAACUCUCCAUUAGCAGUGAACUUAGAGAACUCUAUUUUUGCUUUAGCUGAGGUGAUAGUAUUUAGACAAGGGACUUUAGAGAAAUCGAAUGCAGCUAGAACAACACUGUUUAACUUGGCAGUUGCAACUGUGGAAGUGGAGCUCCAAUUGGUUUUAGUAAGUUCUCCAAGCUUCAGAUUUUUGAGUUUAGUCUCAAAGCUCCCUCCAGAUAUGACUCCAUUAGAGAGGGAGGAUCCUGGAUUCCAUUUGAUCUCCAUAAAAGGUAGAGCUAGGUUUAUAUCUUGACUUGAAUCCUUAGAUUUUGGAAAACCAUAGAAUGUGAUAAGGCCUAGAUUAAGUUUAGAUUCGUUGAUUGCUUUUUUAACCAGAUCUAAUACAUCAACUCUGGUUGUCCCUCCAAGCUUAAGCUUGAAAUCCUUGCUUGAGAUUGCUGUUAAAUCGUUUGAACUGGUUAAAGUGGAAGUUUUUAGAGUCUUUACAAUACUGAGGGUAUAAUCGAGUGUUUUGUGGGUUUCAGUUAAGCUGUUUUCAUUUUGAUUUCCAUUUUCGCCAGAAUUUGAGCUUGAAUUUGAGUUUGAGCUUGAAUUUGAGUCCGAGGUUGAAUUUGAGUCUGAGUCUGAGGUAUCUAUGUUUUCUGAAGAGGCAUGUAAUUUCUCUACAAUGGUAAUAUUCAUUUCUUGUAAACUUUCAGUGGUGAUGAAAGGUAUAGAAAACUGUGAGACAAAUGCAGAAUUGCCAGAAAUGGACGUUUUAUUUGCUUGAGUGAUAUCUUCAAAACCUAAUGAUGAAUCAUAAUUGACAGCUUUUCCAUUACUAUCAAAGAAAGAAGUUUCAACAGAAGCAAUAUUUGGGUUUGAGAAGACUUGCGUGUUAAGAUGAUCCAUAGAUUGGAAAGUUUCAGAAGGAUCAAACUGAUAUGUGAUUUUGGCUUUGUUGAGAGUAAAGAUCGCUCCUACGUAGUUUUCUGGUAGAGAUAGACUAAUGAAUACAUUCUCAAUAGCUAAUGUUGGAGAUUUCUGGAAUAGCCGUGUAAUAUCAACAAUUAGGGUUUUAAUCCCAGAUUCUAGAGAUAGUGGUACAGAUAUA